GGAGGCUGGGCGGGGGAGUCCGGGAGAGGCAACGGGGCCCCCCCUGAGGGGCCAGGGGACCUCCUAGGAGAGAGAGAAGUCUCGGGAGGCAAAGGUAAGGAAAGGAGGGAGGAGGAGAGGGAGCGCUCGGGAGGUCAGCUGUAAAUCGCCUUCCGUGGUGGUGGCGUGGAAGGUGCCCGGGGCUGUGGCAGCAGGGACUGGGGGCUGGAGGGCCAGUUAGAGGGAAGCUGGCCUGGUCUUCCAGGCAGAUGGUAUCUGCCCCAAAGCAGGCUGCAGAGGAGGAGAUGGAUUCGAGAAAUACUCAGCAGGUGACUGAAAGAAUCAGGGACUUCGACGUGGGAGGGCUAUAUUUGGGGAAGUGCCUCCAGCUCCAUUGGCCUGUAACAUAAUGGCUCACUGGUUAAAAACAAGGUCACUGUUAAAAAGGAAAAAACAGCCGUGAUUGUCGGGGUGGUGACUUGCAGGUGACUCAUGGAGCCAAAAAUCAAAGCAAUAAGGGUGACAGCAGGUGGAAACCAGGCAGGCGCCACCCCUCCCUCCCUCUCACCCUCUGGUUCACU
ensembl:lncRNA